rnacentral:lncRNA from 1 species
CCGUGCUGAAGAUGAAGAGCAUUCCAGUGACUUUGAGCCGGAAGAAAAUGGUGAUGGUGCUGAGGAUGAGGAGAUUGAGGAUGAUGAUGCUGAGGAUGGUGAGGAUUCUGUCAAGCCGCAAUCCUCAUCGAAGAGGAAGAGGUCUGGUGGGGAGGAUGAAGAUGAUGAUGACGGUGAUGAUGAUGGUGAUGAUGAUGAGAAGCCUCCAUCAAAGCGAUAGUCAAUUUGUUCUUGCUGAUCUGGUAUCUUUUCUGCUUGGGCCAAGAAGGAAAAUAAUCCUCUGGGAGAGGAUUGUUGGUAAAUGCUGUAGCUUUAGGACAUCUGUGGUAGGUGUAGCAGCUCGAACUUGAGUCUACCCAUGUUAGUUGUUAGUGCAUACUGCUGAUGUUGAUUAACAGCCUCCUUGAACUUCUGUAUGAGCAUUAGAUAUGGGGCUUGUUAUAUGCUUGUGUAGCUUCUGAUUAAAACCUGUGGAAUGUGGAUGCUCUGUUCUGAAUCUUGUUUUCAUGAUAUUUCUCUUGAACUAGCUUGCUGUUAUUUUACUGUUAUCACUGCUUGACCUACAGUUCUCUUGGUACUAUUUUUUGUUUGAGCGCUUAGAAGACAUUUGCUGUUAGAGCAUCCACAGUAUGGUCUUUGGAUUCCCUCAACAAGCCAAGAUACCAUUGGUGCCAAGCCUUGUAACAUUAAAUUAAU